GCCUGUGGGUCCUUCCGGAACCGGACUCAUUCUGUGUCAGACUGAAGGGUGAGAAAGGCAGCCAUGCUCUAUGGGUCUUCUAGCUAGACACCGCAGAUUGAGAAGGACACAUGAAAAGCCGCCACCUCUCUUCCCAUGCUUCACAUCACUUGGGUAUUUAUAAAACUUAUGGAAAGUUCCAACCUGUCUCACUGAGAUGAGAAGACCUAGAAAAUGGGAGUUCUCAAGAGUCUGAUGAGGAACUGCCAUGAAAAUGGUGAGAUACUCUGGAGGAAAGCAGUGCUUGAUGGUGGACCUCCUGACAGCCCCAACCUUGUUGCUACCAAGACUGUUUGGGUAAGGAAGUGCUUGUUGAUGGGCAGUAAAAUAAUUGGGGUGAGUGAUGUUUGAACUAUAGCUCUACUGAUGCUGAAUAGAAAUAAAAGAAAUCUUGCAAAGUCAACCAGAAAAAAUAACAAAGAAUUUGGCAAUAACUAUCAACAAAUAGUAUGGUGGUGCAUGUGAGUAUCUAGAACACUCAGAAAGAAGAGGAAGAGGAAAAGGAGGAAGGGGAGAGGGAAAAAUGAAUCAAUAAAGAAUCACUUUCUCCAAAGAAAUCCUGAGGAAGAAAUUAAUAUUACUUGUUCCAAGAAUUUUAGCACAUUUAAUUCAGCAAAGAUUAUGGAGUACCUGCUAUGUCCAGGGCUCUGUGUGAGGUGUGUAUACACAGUGUGGGCCACUCAGUGCUAAGGACAAUGCCUUCUAGUUGGUAAGAACUUUAGAGACUCUCUUCCCUUUGGAAUCGAUAUGGAAAUACUAGACAAGCAAAAGCUUUGUCUUUCCUUUGAGAUGUUUCCUAACUUGGUGAGGAGGAGCAGAGCUCAUAUUUACACUGUAGCAGCAUCUGUGGGAGCCCCAGAGAGUUUGAGGUAACUAUAAAAUGAGUAAUUGCUCUGUGGAAAGUUCGUUCCUAUACAAUGACAUCAAACAGACAAUCUGUGGCUCAUUCUGAGCCUGGCAGCAGACCUGCAGAAGGGAACGUGCCCUUCUGAGCUAGCCCUUUACAUAGCCUCCUGGUAGCACAGAUGCUGCAGUUGGCCCUGGCACAGCCCGUGGCAAUUACUGGUUCUGUUGUUGCCGGCUUUAUUCACUCACUCUGUCUAGACUUCAAUUUCUGGAGCCUUUAGUGACUCAUUUUUCAAAAAACAUACAAGUCAUUUCACUUUGCUUUGCUUUAAGCUCUAUAUAACCUAAUAUUUAAUGUGCUCUGAGCGAUGUUAUGUGUACCUCAUCAAAAAGCAGUCUAUAGACUUCCAAGAACACCAGAUGAUGUUGACUUUGACCAUAAUCUCAUAUUAACCUCUUAUUGAAAUCUCCAUUUUAUGAAAAGUCAUAUCCCAGGCCCUAUUCAGAACUGCAGUGUUGACCUGGGUACCUUCAACGAUGCUUUUCUAUCUUUUAUUUAGUUGGCAAUAACUCUAAAGGCCAUAAUUUCAUAUUUGGUUGAGUUUUGAGUUGUUCAAUUUGACAAGUUACCAUUCCCUCAAAACCUAAGUCAUUAUCUUAAAAGCCUUGAAUGGUCAAAUCAUGAAGUCUGAGUGUUUGAGGCAGAGUACUGGGCCAACCAGUACAAAAUCUUAAAAAUUGUAUCCAGUAGCAACUGACUCUAACUGUAUAAACACAUUAUGGAUGUGUGCAAAUAGGAGUAUGCAGGUAGAGGGUUGAGCUGCUCUAGUGUUCGUGGGACAAGGGUCUGACCUUCUACUGCCCGCAGAUGGUCAGUUCUAAGUAGAAUUAGAGGCAUGGAGUAAUGUGGAAUUGUUUCAUCACUGGCUUUCUCGUGGCACAUAUCUAUGCUUGUAUUGUGUUCUCAUGAGAAUAGUCUUUAGUCUCAUCAUGGGAUAGCGCCCUCAGACUCGUAAUGUAGAACAUCAGAAAUCAUUUCCUGAGAUGAUUCAGAAAUUUGACUUUCCUUCAAGACCCUUUUUCUGCUAAUUCUAAAGAUUUGAAACUGUGCCUGUAUUUCUACUUACUUAUUUACUAUAUUUAACUAGAAUUUAGUCUUUUCUCUCAUGAAUGUUACCUUUUAUUUCAACAUUUUCAUUUUUAAAUUUAGUUAUUAAUCACUUUUUAUCAUCUAUCCUUUUAAUAAAAGUUUGUUAAGGGUUUAUAAUAAGUCAACAAUCACUCUUGGACCAAAUAUAGAGUCCUAACUAAAACAAGAUCUUUGCUUUCAGAGAUUUUAUGGAUCUGGAGAUAAUAAUUUAAACUGUUAUCAAGUGCUAAAAACCUCACACCAUUUCUUCCUUUAGUCAUAUUUUACAGCACAUGAACAUUCUCUUUGUUUCAUUAGCUUUAAAAAUCUCAUGUUUUGAUUACCUUUACUGUUUCAGGGUCUGUUUAGUAAUCCCUACUAACACACAACAACUACUUGCUCACUGUUCAUGAUUGGUUUUGCCACAUGGGGUAAUACCUGGAAUAUUCUGGCUUUCCAUCUUCAUUUAAUUAUAGGUCCAACAAUCGGGACACCCUUGGUAAUUAUUACCUCAGCAAAGCCUUGCAUGAUUCCACAGAGAAGUCCCACUUGCAGUGUGAACCCACAGUUAAGGAGGCCUCUAAGCAAAUUGACUCUAUUUUCCUGACAAAUAGGCCAGAGGAAAGAAAGUUUUUAAAUUCACUAGAGAUGACUUGUUUCAGCUUCUCCUCUCUGGUCCCUGUUGUGCUUUGCAUGCAUGAAUCAUACGGGUGAUUUGAAUCAAGAAGGUAAAGGAAGCCUUGCAGUGUUGAUGCCCUUCACACCCCCACCAUGUAGAGAAGUUGAUAAGCAGACUGAUAACUGAAUAAUGCUUUGCAAUGUGAGAUUCAGUGUUUGCUGCAAACGCUAACACCCACCCCCUUUUAAUUUGAAUAUUUCUCUCCUUCCUCCAUCUUGCUCCAGGAAGUGUUGGAAGAUGGCCAACACUAUUCUCCUACAAUAAGUGACAGACUUCAGGAAUUAUCACUGGGUGCCAGCAGCUCUGGUUAAGAAUAUUUUUUUUCUCUAUCUAGCUUAGCUGAAUUUCCUUAGGCUAAUAAAUUAACCUCUGUGAGUGUGUGCCUACCACUAAUUUGUCAGACGUUGUUAAAGAAGAAUGUGAUGAAUGUCUGGUCAUGUAGGAAACAAUUUGUGUUUUUAACUACUUUCUUAUUUUUGUUAUAAUUAUUUCCUUGUGUGCUGGUUAGAUUUUUGUCAACUUGAUGCUAGCUAGCAUGGGGGGAAAGGGGAACCUCUUUGAGAAAAUGAUUCCAUCAGAUUGGCCUCUGGGCAACUCUGUGUGGCAUUUUCUUGAUUAAGGAUUGACCUGGAAGGGACCAGCUUAUUGUGGGUGGGGCCUUCCCUGGGUAGGUGGUCCUGACAUAUAUUAGAAAGGUAGCUGAGCAAAGUUAUGGAGAGCAAAGCCAGUAAGCAGAUCUUAUCCAUGGUCUCUGCUUCAGUUCCUACUUCCAGAUUCUUGCCUUGAGUUCCUGCCUGGUAUCUCUUCAUGAUGCACUGUGGUGUGAUAGGGGAAGUCAAAUCAACCCUUUGCUCCCCAAGUUUCUUUUGGUCUUCACAUUUUAAUCACAGCAAUAGAGACAAACUAGGAUACCUCAGAUGCUUUGUCUGAGUUAGGGUAGUGUAUAUCAUGUUUUCAGCCAUUCUUUUCCCUUUAGAUAAAUUCCCUCUAACACCGAAGCUUAUAAAGUCACCAUGCAAUAUUGCCAUACAUCACUGAUGCUAUGAGGGCAGUGUACCUCAGACGAGGCAACUCUUCAACUUGCACCCCAGAAUACAGGAGACAAAGAGCAGCACCAUGGUCAGCGUGCAACUUCCAUGAAACAAGUUAGAACGACUGAAUGUUAGAGACACCAAGAGUUGCUUACAACUACAACAUAAAAGCCUCUUUCUAGUGCCUUGGAGCCUCUGGGGCUCAGGUCAUCUGAAGGGUAAUAUUUUCAGCUAUGAGCUCGCUCUUCUGCUGCAAGCUUCCAGAUACUUUAUAUAUUCAGUGUUUUAGGGCCUAAAGGACACCACUAUGGUGUGGAGGCUAGGCUUCACACUGUUUUUAUUCCACAUCAUUCCAGCUCACCCCACACUGAAGUCCAUCUUAUGUUUGUAGAGAGCAUCUAACUGAAGUGUCUUCAAGUGCAAAAGAAGUUGAUGCUAAGAAUUCUUAAGAACAAUGCCUUUGAUACAGAAAGAAUUCUAAGAAAUGAUUUUGAUUGCUAUUACAGGGACAGAAAGGAGUGCUAAUCCCCAUGUUCUAAGAAUUAUAUAGAUACAUGUGUGUUCCUCAAUGAGACUGUGGAAGGAUAACAAGAUACUGUGCAGGCAGGUACAACCCCAAGCAACUAUAAGUCCCACAGAAGAAAUAGAUGCUCCAAGCUCACAGCACAGCAAGCUAGAAUCAGCUCAGGUCAGAGGACACCCAAAGAAGCUGACGCUGAUUACCGUGCAUCUGUAUUGGCUAGACGGUGCUUCAGGACCCAGAGAGGGGCAGGAGAGCAUCAUGGGGUGGGGUCGGGAAGAACUGCAGAAUAAAAGCACAAAUGUAGCAAAUUAAGGAUUCUUUUAGAAAACAGUGAGUCAUUCUUUCUAACUGGAGCAAAGCACUCAUGAAAUCCAGGGAAACAGAACUGUAGCUCUGUGUGGGAGUUGAAUCAGAGAGAUGCCUCAGGAUCUAGGAAUAGGAAAUGACUUCUGGGAAAGAUGUUCCCCAUUUUUAACAGAGAACACUGGCCAGAAAUGCAUCCUUUCAACUCCUACAUAAAUAAAACAGAGUCAGAUGUGUUAGUUAUAGACAAGAAAUGAAAUAAAAGGGCAAGACUUUCUGCUUAUGAUCAUGGGUGAAGAUAUAUGAGUUACUCUUUCAUUCCACCAAGUCUCCCUCCCCCACAAAACCAAUAUCAUAGUAUCACAAUAAAAGAUCAAUAGACCUUCAUGACCGCUGAGAUUGAAAAGAGGACUCUUAGCCAGCCAGGGGUCUUAGUGAAUUUCUGGAAAGGAUGGAAAAUUGAUGAGAAUACCUUUGUAGAUUACAAAAAGCAACACAGAAGUCCCUUUUUCAUAUCAAAAAGAAAUUCAAAACUCCAUACUGGUAGGAGAUGGCAUGUAUAAAAGGGAAAAAAUCAAGGCAAAAACCUGAUGACAGUUAGAAGCUUCAUCUUUGGAACAACUAUGCCUAUAAGUCUCUCAGAGUUCCAGCCCUGCCAACAUCUCUCAUGGUCAUAUCAGGAGCUGAAUUUACCUCUAGGCUAAGGCUGUGGAACAAUUCUCUAAAAAAGUUAUAAUCCACUAAGAGUAGGCUACUAUAGCAGCCCAAGGGGCAAGGCUUUGGCAUUUGGGUGAAAUGGAAAAUAAACUCUGGCAACUUUGACAGCAUAAAAGUAAUGGAGCCACUCUCAGGAACAAUGGGCAAAGUCGUAUGUCCUCUCCUAAUGGGCAUCUGGAGAUACUGUCCAAGGGUGAUCAGAGAGCCUUGAACACAUUAUUUACAGCUGCAAAAGUAAGCCAAACAAGUUCCAAAAUUUAUAACAUGACUCAUGAGAACAGAGAAGUGGCAAGUAGAGUUGAGAAAGAAGGAAUUCUUUAUCUUCAUAAUGGGAACUUACUGGAUCUCUUUACACUUUUUAAAGUGCACAGGAAAUAUUGCUGGAGUCAUAUGAUGUAGAUGCAUUGAAGAAGCCACUGGAAGAGGCAACAAAAGAUGGUGUUCAAGACUGGGCCUUCUAGGCAGUGGGACGUGGCUAGGAAAAUGAAUUACAGAGCUGUAGAAAGACAUUUUUAAGUUUGCAAGCUUCUACUCAGCCUGAAUGUCUUAAACUAUGAAUAUGUAAUUACUGUCAAAAUUUCAAAAUGUGGAACAUUUGGAUUUGACACCUAGGACCAAAUGAUAAGAAUCUCUAAAAUUUCUUUGCUGACUAAGAACUCUUAAGAUAAUUACAAAUGGGCCCGUGAGAUGGCUCAGAAGGUAAGGAUGCUUGCCACCAAGUCUGCUGACCUGAGUUCAAUCCAGGGAACCCAGAUAGUAGAAAGAGAGAACCACCUCCUACAGAUUGUCCUCUGACAUCCAUACCUGCAACAUGGCACAGGUGUUGCUGCCCACAUGCUGGGUUCCAAGGUCUGAAUGAUACUUCCACCAUGAUGGCAUCAGUUGUGUCAAGGUCGGGGGGCUAUUAUAACAGUAACAAAAUGAUGAUUGACGGGAGAUGUCCCUCAACUGAAGAAUGGGUAAAGAAAUGUGGUACAUAAACACAAUGGAGUACUACUCAACAGUUAAAAACAAGGACACCAGGAAAUUUGAAGGCAAAUGGGUAGAACUAGGAAAAAUCAUCCUGAGUGAGAUAAUCCAGACCCAGAAAGACAAACAUGGUAUGUACUCACUCGUAAGUGGAUAUUAGCUAUAAAAUGAAGGAUAACUAUGCUCCAAUCCAGACCCAGAGAGACUAGGUAACAAGGAGGGCCUAGAGGGAAAGCAUGGAUCUCCCUGGGAAGGGGAAAUAGAAGAGAUCUCCUGGGUGGACUAGGGAUGGAUGAGGAUGGGAACAUAAGGGGUCAGAUUGAGGGUUUGACAGAGUGGGAGAAUAAUGAAAGAGAUAACUCGAUGGUGGGUUUAUUUCAGGGUCAGGCAGAAACCUGAUGCAAGGGAAAUGCCCAGCUAAACACUACACUUCUAAGAGAAGUUACAAUUCUUACAGCACCAUUUUUAGUCAUGUGAACCUUUUGAACUAGUUGCCUCAUGUGUAAACUGGACAGCAUAAGAGUGCUCACUUCGUAGUCUUCAUGGAAAAGGGAUCAUUGUGCCCUGGCCUAUGGUACUGCACCUCUGUGAGAUCCUAUUUUCCCCCUACGCCUUUCUUCAUGUGUAUGUACUUGUGUUUUUCCUCCAUGUAUGUCUGUGUACUACCUGUACUCACAGAGGCCAGAAGAUGUCAGACCUCCCAGAAGUGGAGUUACAAGACAGUUGUGAGUGGUCAUGUGAGUAUUGGGAACUGAACCCAGAGUCUCUGGAAAAGGAGUGAGUACUUUGAACCACUGAGCCAUCUCUCCUUGCAUACAUUAUAUUACUUGAGUAUUUGUCUUUCUUGAGGGCAGUAUAUUCCCUUGAUUACUUGGCCAUUAAAGUAGUUUUAUGCCAUUUCUCUACCAUGAUGUGGCAUACCACUAAUAGAUGAAGGAGGCUUCAUCUAUCUCCUUUUGAACACAUCUUGCCUUUUAUAGAUUCUUUGGUAAACACUCUAACCAUCUCCCUUAUCAUUUUCCUUGCCUUUAUUUGCUUCCUGAGAACAGGGACCAAACUCUGCUUUGCAGUGAGUGACAAGCCAGAACUGUGUGGUAGGCAUCAUCAUCUCCUCCAUAACACGUCAUUUAAUGAGGGGGAUGACUUCAGAGAUUUUAUUUUAAAGUUUUUUAUUCUUUUCUUUAAUAUAAGAAUAUGAAUGGAGGUUUGAGUAAAACUCAGUUGUAGGGUACCUACUUAGCAUUCACAGGCCCUGGAUUUGGCUAGGGAUUGGAGUAAAAUUCAGUGGUAUUUACUUAGCAUGAGCAAGAACCUAGGUUUAAUUCUCAGCACCAUGAAGAAAAAAAGCAGUAUGGACAAAUUCAUUGUACUAGUCAAAUAAUUUACAGAUGUAUAAAAAAAUUUGCUAUUUGUACCCACAUCUAUUUUCACCUUUUGCCCAGCCUGGCAGACUCAGUGUUAAUCAGGCAUAUCUUUGUUUUAUGUAUAGAAGCACACAUGUGCAUAUACACAUAAUCAAAGUUAUUCAUAUGUAGAUACAGUGUUCACUUUAUUUUUGUUCUUUCUAUUCUUUUUGCAUUUAUCAAAAUGGAUUACACUAUUUACAGGGGUUGUGAGCAUUCCUGUGUGAUAAAAUGGGGAUAUUAUUUUUAACAGCUGAAUAAUAAUCUACAGAAUGGGUAUACUGUAUUUGUUUGGCCAUUAUUAACAGACACUCAGAUCAUUACCAACUCCUAUUCCAUGAUGAGUAACAGUGGUGGUUUGAAUGAGAAUGGCCCCCAUAGGCUCAUAGAUUGAAUGCUUGGUCACCAUGGAGUGGCACUACUUGAAAGGAUUGGAAGAUGAGGCCUUGUUGGAGGAAAUGUGUCAAUACAGGUGGGUUUUGAGGUUUCAAAAGCCGUUGCCAAGACAAAAGUCUCUCUUUUGGCCUACACAUCAGAACGUAGCUCUUAUCUACUUCUCUAACACUAUGUUUGCCUGCAACCAUGCUCCCCACAAUGGUGAUAAUGGACUAAACCUCUGAAACUGUAAGCAAGCCCCCAAUUAAAUGCUUUCCUUUAGAAGAGUAGCCAUGAUCAUGGUGUCUCUUCACAGCAAUAGAAUAGUAACAAAUACAAUGGUGCUCCUGGAAACAGCCUUUCAUAUGCAUCUUUUAUACACUGGCCAUUUGAUUCUGUACUAUGUAUUCACAGGCCUGGAACUUCACAUCAAAGAAUGUGUGCUUGAGCAAGAUUUACUAGAAUACUACUCAAACUUCAGCUUUCAAGUACUGAUGGACAUACUACAUAUUCCAGACUUUGUUUCGGAUUUAUAAUUUUGUAAUGUUUUCCUUAAAGAAGAAUGAGUGAAGAGCUAAAGAGAAUGAAGCUUGUGAAAUUUUUAACCUUUGAAACCCCAUGGGACCAGGACCUCCUAAUUCAUAAAUAUGUACAUUUAGGGUUUUUAAGUCAGUUGUUUGAGAAUUCCCUACAAUGUAUUUUGGUCGCAUUCACCUCUUCCCUCGGCUCCUUCCAGAUAACACCACCCCAUCCCCUUCUCCAACUUGGUGUCUUUCAUUGCCUUUCAAAACCCAUGGAGCCCAAUUGUGCUGCCCCAUCCCCAUACUCUUAGUGGGCAGCAUAUCGACUGGAACAUUGUUAACCUAUGGGGGCCACAUCCUUAAAACAAAACCGACUGUACCAGCAGGUGCCAAUUGCCAGUGGUUCUUCAGCUAAGGGUAGGACUUCAUGCUCACCUCUCUUUUCCUUUCUAGAAAGGUGGUAGUGAUUCCUGCUUCCCCCAGCAACACAAGAGAGAACCCAAGAUCCCACAUCUUGGAGACACGAGGUCCCUUUCUGCUCCAUGCUCUCCCUAGAUAUAAGGAGGUGAGGAAGUUCAGCCGCCAACUCCCACACCAUUCUUGCCUGCAGUACAGCGCUCCCACCACUCUAGAGCUGCCUGCCACCACCGUGCUUUCUCUGUUAUUUCUACUGCAUCUACUCGAACCACAAUCCAGAAUGAAUCCAUUUUCGCUGAAGUUGCUUCAAGUAUUUAGUCAUAAUAAGGACAAAGCAACUGCAUUUAAAGACAUACAUGGUAUCUUAUUUAUGUAUGUUUUCUUCACUUCUGUCAGCUUAAGCAUCUGCCAUCUCUCUAGUAAACACAUCUCCUCUGAGAUUUUAUAGCCAUUUUUUCCAUUGUAACCCAGGAUGGCUAUACUUAGCUGUCAGCUUGGCUACACCUGGAAUUUACUAAAACACAAGUUUCUGGGUACACCUUACUGUGAGGGACUUUUCUUGAUUAGAUCAUUUUUGACCGCAUCUUCUGAUGGCAGCUUAUAUAAGGACAUGGAAAAAGGAGAUGCUUGUUCUUUGGCUGCAUGUCCCCACUCUUUGGCAAGUUCAUGCCUUCACCAGCAUUACUGCAUUUUCAGGAUUCAAACAUAUACCCAAGACCAUCUGAGACAUCAGCCUCUUGAACCAAAGCAACUAUUAGAUUCUUGAACUUCUGUUGGGAGACAGCCAUUCUUGGAAUAGUUGGACCACAUCUUGCAAGUCACUCUAAAAAUCCCAUUUUUAUAUAUAAAGAUUUAUUUUAUUAGUUCUGUUCUCUAGAGAACCCUGACUAACAUAUAACCUCUUCCUGCCCAUCAGUUUAAAGAAUGUCUUUGUAUGUCUCAAGAUUCAUCCACUCCACAAAUAAGAUUGAGCCUCUACUAUAUUCCAGACAUUUCUGCAGGCUAUAAAACAGAAUUCCUGACAACACAAAGCUUAUAAUAAUAAGAAUAACUAAUCAAAGUGCAAACAAGGAAAGAAAACAAUGAAAAGGGGGCACUCUGGGUUGCUGUGGGAUGGUCUGUAUGUCAAGUAUGUUGCUGAUUGGUCAAUAAAUAAAUCACUGAUUGGCCAGUGGCCAGGCAGGAAGUAUAGGCGGGACAAGGAGGAGAAUAAAGCUGGGAAGUGGAAGGCUGAGUCAGAGAGACACUGCCAGCCGCCACAAUGAGAAACAGCAUGUGAAGAUGCCGGUAAGCUACGAGCCGUGUGGCAAGGUAUAGAUUAAUAGAAAUGCAUUAAUUUAAGCUGUAAGAACAGUUAGCAAAAAGCCUGCCAUGGCCAUACAGUUUGUAACCAAUAUAAGUCUCUGUGUUUACUUGGUUGGGUCUAAGCGGCUGUGGGACUGGCAGGUGAGAGAGAUUUGUCCUGACUGUGGGCCAGGCAGGAAAACUCUAGCUACACUGGGUGGAAAGCAGGUCCUCCCUUCCAGGUUGAUGACCAUAGUGGUGCAGGUUGAGUCAGGAGAGAAGCUGCUGGAAGAACAUCUUAGGAGGCAUGUUCAUGCCCACACCCCUCACAAACACACAAACAAGUUCUUAUUAUCAGAUACUGCAGUUCUAGCUGUUCUCAAUUAUUAAUGUAAGUUUGACUUUGUAUUGGCAAUAUUAAAAUGAAUGUUUCAAUAUGCUUUUGAAACCUUCAUGUAAAUAUUGAAUAUGCAGAGCCAGAGUCAUAAAAAUACAAUUACAAGAUUUAUUACUCUGAUUUGUUUAUUUAAAUAGUGGACAUAUAUCAGAAAAUCAAGCAACCUAUAUUGUUUUAGACUGUGGGGACUUGUUUUCUUACCUUUAACUGGCAAAAAACUGAACUAAAACCUUCAUGAUAUAGGAAUUAUAAAAUUUCCCUCUGACCCAGUCUAAAUCAUAGAGCUGAAAUCAUAGUAAACACAGCACCAGCUGUAAUUAUGGUCAAUAUCCUUAUUAAUAGAGGGAAACAAUGGCCUGAUCAUAUAGUGAUGCAUGUAGUAUGCUCAGUUGUCCCCAGAUGAAUGGGGAAGACAUCUGUCAGAGUGACAUAAGUGUGGUAGUUUGAAUGAAAAUGGCCCCCACAGGGAGUGGCACUGUCAGGAGAUGUACUUGUUGGAGUAGUUGUGGCCUUUUGGAGAAAGUGUAUCAUUGGGAGUGGGCUUUGAGGUUUCAGAAGCUCAAGACAGGUCCAGUGUCACUCUCUCUUCCUGCUGCCUGCCAAUCCAGAUGUAGAACUAUUGGCCCCUCCUCCAGUACCAUGUCUGCCUGCAUGCUACCAUGCUUCCUUCCACAACAAUAAUGACCUAAACUUCUGAACCUAUGAGCCAGCCCAAGUGAAAUCUUUCCCUUUAUAAGAGCUGCCAUGGUCAUGGUGUCUCUUCACAGCAAUAGAACUCUAAGUAAGACAAAAGUUGGUACCAAGAGUUCAGUAUUGACUGCUGUGGCAGAACUGACUGGGUUUUAGUUAGGAUUGUGGAAGGACUUUGGAACUCUGGGCUAGAAAAGACAUUGAGUGUUGUGAGUUUAGUUGGAUGUUCUGUAGGAGCCUAGAAGAUAAGAAUGUUGAGAGCAGUGCUGAGAAUGGAGGGCUGGCUUAUGAAGUUUCAGAGGAAAGUUUAAAGGCUCUGUCAGGACAGUUUCCUAUUUUGACUUAAGAUUCUGUGGUUCUGGUUAGCUGGUACUAAAGAAUAAGCCGUAAUUAACAAGAUACCAGAACUACUAAAGCAAAACCUUUGCUUUGCUGGGAUAUUUGAUGCUGGUUGGCUGGAGCUGAGAAUUUAGUGGUGAUUAAGUAGAGAACAGCAUCAUUGAGGUGAAAUCUUCUGGGAAGUGUUUCCUAAGAAGCAGCACACAGAAGCUGUGUUCCAGAGGCAGCCAAAGUUGGACCUUGUGCUGGCAGCCAAACUUGGUAGAGUAAGAGUCACCUAGGUAGGACUAGUUUUGAAGGCAUAACGGGGUCAUGGAGAGCAGCUGAGGCUUGGCACUGUGAGAGGCCAGGGGAGGCCAUUGGUAAAGGUGCAGGCUCAGUGGCAGUUGAAGGCCCAGUACUGAAGGAGUCAUGCACAGAAGUUGAGGCUUGGCACCAUGAAAAGAGCCUACGAGAGGCUAACGGUAAAAGUGCAGCCCAGUUGCAGCACAAGACCCUAGCAUUUUGGAGAUGCCAGUACUACAGGAUGGCCACCAAGAACAGCAGAAGCAGUGAAAUGGAGCCAACUGGAACCUAGAAGACAAGUUGUGUGUGUGCACAGACGGAGGGCAGAGCUGGAAAAGUAACACAAACCCCUUGGAGGAGCCCAGAAGGUUAUGAAUGAAUCCCAGAUAAUUUUACAUUGAGUUAUUUACAGUCUUGGGAGUUUGAUUUUGGUUGGUUCAGAUUGUGACUGUGCCCUGGUUCUUCCCUCUUGAAGAAGAUAUUUAACUUAAUGUUGGUUUUUACAGGAGCCCAUAGCUGAACGAUUUUGAAAUUUUAAAAGGGGUUUUGUAGUUUUAAAGAGAAUAGAUAUUUUAAAAAGACCAAAAUUUUAAUGUGUUUGAAUUCAUAAAGACUGUGAGACUUUUAAAGUUAUUUGUUUUUAAUGUGAGAUCUUGAGGAUCAAUAAGAAAGGAAAGGUGUGACUUAAUAGUGAUAUGUUUGUGUGUUAAGUUGACAAGGGGUCAGUUGUGUUGGCUAGUCCUAUGUCAACUUGACACACACACUGGAGUUAUCUGAAAGGAGGGAAGUUUAAUUGAAAAAAUGCCUCCAUAAGACCAGACCAACUAAAAAUGCCUCCAUUAAUUAGUUAUUGAUAUGGGAGGGCCCAGCCCAUUGUGGGUGGUGCCAUCCCUGGGCUAGUGGUCUCAGGUUCUAUAAGAAAGUAGAUUGAGCAAGCUAUGUGGAGUAAGCCAGUAAGUAGCACUUCUCCAUGGCCUCUGCAUCAGCUUCUGCCUCCAGGAUUCUGCCCUGUUUGAAUUCCUGCCCUGACUUCAUCAUCAACAGCAAUAUGAUGAUGAACAACAUUAUGGAAGUAUAAGCCAAAUAAAUCCUUUCCUCCCCAACUUGCUUUUUGGUCAUGGUGUUUCAUCACAGUGAUAGAAAUCCUAACUAAGAUGAAAGGUAGGUAAGGGGUAGGAUGGGUGCCAGCCCCAUCCUCUCUGCCUCAGGGGUAAUGUCCCCUUGUGGGAUGGCUCCAGCAUGAAGUGACAUCUCAUUUAAAUUUCCACACCAUGGCUUCACUCUCGUUUAAAGUUCUUUUCAGUUCUGUCAUCCACAUAUGCCAAAGGGAGAGGAUUGCCUUUCCUACUUCAGACAGUCCUUUUUUUGCUGCCCAAGGGAUAUCAGAACCUCCCUGCCUCCCAUGGAUGUUCUAUUUGGAAGAAAGCAGAAAGCACUGUGGCCAAUGCCACCAUCAAAUGUGUGUGUGGGAAAUGAUGGGGAAAGGUGAUCUCUUUUCCUUCUAAUCACAAUGGAUGGGCAAGUUAUGAAAGACAACUGGUGACAGAAGUUUCAUAAAUACCCACAGGCAUAUCACUGCCUUUAUCCAGAGCUGUGGUCUGUAUUUAAGCAAGCCUUCGGUUGGGGCUUUCUCCAGAACCACACUGGUAUGUCUUUUUACAACUUAGUAACUUGCAUUUGUUUUCUUGUUCAUGCUAUGGCUGAAAAAUUCCCAUCUGUUCUUCUUCUCCCCCUAACCCAUCAUUCAUCUUUCUACCCCCUUCCUCUUCUGUUGACCAUGAAUUCACAACCCUACUGGCUCACACCUCUGUUCUCUUUCUGUAUCAAAUACAUAUAUCUUCAUGUCCCGCAUCCUUCCACACUUAUUACUGCUCCCUUUUAGUUGUUCUGGGGAAGUUAGAUGUGAAUAUACUUCUGGAUGGAGAAACACAGGAGGCUAAAGGAAACUCACAGCUCUACCAACAAAAUAGAAGACAGAGACACAUGAGAACUUCUGCCUCUUUCCUUUGACUUCAAGCAGACUCUCUUCGUCAAUGAGUAAAGAAAUACAUCUCACAUUCUAUUGACUGUUUACCUCUCCCUAGAAAUUUACACAUUUAAAUCUUUUAGAUUUGUUUAGCUUGUGUGUAUGAACGUUUUGCCUGCAUGUAUGUCUGUGCAAUUCAUGCGUUCCCAAUGCCCACAGAAGUAAAAAGAGGGUAUUAGGUUCCCUGGAGCUGGAGAUAGACAGUUGUGAGCUGCCAUGUGGGUGCUGGGAAUUGAACAUGGGUUCUCUAGAAGAGCAGUCAGUGCUCUUAAGUGUAAGCCAUCUCUCUAGUUCCUUUUUAGGAAAUUGUAAACUGAAAGCACACACACAAACUGCUCCCCAAAAUAUGCCUUUUACUUUUUUCAAAAAGAAACUUUUAGUGACUUUUAUGGUAAAUAUAAUCAGUAGAACAAAGACAUAAAAUAAACCAUGAGGAAAAUGAGACCCUCUUGUGUUCAGUAAUUAGCACUAAGGAAUUGUGUUAUAACACUUUUCUCGUAUUUAAAUGUGGGGGCAGUGCCAAAUCUCACACUGAAAUAGCUCUAUGUCACUUUUCCAACCCCUCUAGGACAGUAAUUAAUUGGUGAGAUCAAAAGAGUUGUAGAAGAGAAAAAACUUACUAGGAUAUUAUAUAUUCCAUAUGAGAUAAGCUAUCAACACAAAAUUAACAGGUCUGUUGGUAACUGGAAUUUCAUUGUUGGAAGAAAGGUAGACCUAAAACCUUUUGAGAUUUUCAUGAGGAUUUUAAUUAAAAAGCUUCUCUCUGUGUGUGUGUGUGUGUGUGUGUGUGUGUGUGUGUGUGUGUGUCUCCUUCCCUCCCUCCUCCCUUCCUUCCUUUCUUUUUUCCUUCCUUCCUUCCUUUGAUAUUUCUUUUCUGCAUAGCAGGAAAAUAGACUGCCAUGUUUACUUAUUGGGUCAAUAAAAGUAGACUUGAACUUGGAAGUCCUAUUACUGUCUCUCAUCCCUGAGAAAUGGCCCAACAUCCAAAUGAGAGGAGACAACCUCUUGAGCAAGAACUGACAAGGUGUUGUGUUGUGAUUCCGGUGGGAAAAGCAGCAACACUCUGAGAAAACAGAAUGCGUUCCUCUGGUAAAUAAAGUUGCAGGCUAGCUGAUAACGUUUUAUGGGAAAGAAGGAUUGUUUCAAACCCUCCAGCAAGCUUUUACACGGAGUAAAUGCCUUAAGUAAGAAAUCCUGUCAGUGAGAUACAAUGGCAUGUAAUAAACAGUGCACAGGUUUUCUUCAAGCAGCUAAGUCGAUAACAGGUCAGUUGUAUGUUUUAGCUUUUCUUGCCAAACUUAACUCCACUGGGCCAUGACUGUACACAAAGACUUGAUUUGUUUUGCUCUGUUUUUAUUUGUUUGUUUUCAGUGGUCAAUUUAGCUACUUCUUUGAGAAAGGAAAUGUCUACUCUCCACACAGUUUGGAGUUCAGGAGUUGGCAAUCCCAGGACUCCAUUUGUGACGUGACAUUGAGUGUCAAAAAGGGGACUGGUGUCCUGUUCGGUGCUUAAAAUAACUGAUUAAGAAAUAAAAAAAAUCUAAAUUCAGUAAGAGAAAGAGCAAUGAAAUACCAAAGGGAAAUGGAAAAUUGACAUGAAUUCACACAAAAAAACCACAGAUAAUUAAUAAGCAAACGAGAAAAAUUAUUCAAUCUCCAACUAAUAAAUAAACAUAGUCUGAGAAUAUGAUAAUGUUUGGCUACUAAAUUAGUAGAUAUGGUAAGAAAUAAUGGCGUGUGUGUUGUUGGGAAUAUAAAAGUAGUAUAAUCUUUUAGAAAGCAAUUUGAUAGACACAUUUGCCUAAAUGGGAACAAUAAUGGUCACAGACCUCAGACUUGAAACCAAAGUUACCUGUGUUCAUGUAGAAACAAAUAAAUUAGGAAAGAACAUUAAAUUAACUGUGACUGUAACUUGUGUCUUUUAUUUUUGAAGUUCCCUUUCUCAGGAAUAUUACCCACUAAUAUUUAUUUAGCCCCAACUCAACUAAGGAAAUAUACCAGCUUCCCUAUUUCAAUUUCCAAGCAAGGCGUUUCCUAAGAAUAGCUAAAUACAGGAGUCAAGACUUUGACCGGGAUGCUGUCUUCUCUCUAAAUUUCUCUUCCAGUUUUGACUCUGUCAAAAACAAACAAACCAGCAAAAAAGUCUGCCUGGGAUAGCAGUUAUGAGCUAUGUAGAUGUAUUCCCAGGUUCAAGUCUGUAUGGAGAACAAGUCUCAGAUCCAUCUGAUUAGGCCUCCUUGAAUCAUGUGCUUAAAACGAACAAAUCACAGGACAGGAAACACUAUGCACUGAUGCCCUCUGGGAAUGUGUUGUCCUCUCCACUGUAGAGCCUGCCUAGGCCAAGUGAAGGGCACACCAGGAAGAAACAGUUUCAAACAAAAUUCCAGGCUGUUGUCAAUGAAGAAGUACGUUAACAGUGAAUGUAACAUGCAUGGAUGUGUUGCUUCCAAUAGGAAAAUUAACUCCUUUUUUUCCAGUUAUUACCUUGUCAUGUUGAUUCCCUUCUUCUUUCUGGUCAGUGAGUUAUAAAUCCACCCUUAAAAAGCAUCCUCAAAAAGACAGAACUGUGCAGCUUGUCAAUGAUAAGGUGUUGUUCAGCUACAUUAUGACUAUAAGUGACACCUUUCAUAAACAGUUAGACUGAUAAAUAAAAACAUCAUUUUUUCCAUUAGAAUUUAAAGUAAGAUUUUGACUAGCUGGAUUAAAAACUAUAAUUUUCCAUACCUUACACCAUAUCUUUUUCUGCAGUCACUUUUUGGGGCACUUACAUAAAAUUAUUGUAUUUUAUCAAAUCGUGAUGUCCCCCAAAAAUCUCAUGUGUUGAUGGUUUGGGCCCAGGACGAGCAGCCAUGUUCCAAGUUAGGGAUUUUGAAAAGUGAUUAUAUCAUGAGGGCUGUGGUCUCACCCAGCAAUCCACUGACAAGUUUAUAACUUAACUGAGUAUUAGAUGAUAGACAUUUCAGAAGGUAGGACCUAAUUAGAGGAAGGAGACCACUGGGUGUGUGCCCUUGAAUGUGUGCCCUGAGGGUGUUUUUUAUUACCACCCCCUUCUCUGUAUCUCCAUCUCUUUUGCCUGCCUCCUAUCCACCAGGAAGUAAGUCACUUUCAAUGACAACAUGCUCUCCACCAUUGUGUUCUACCCCAACACAAGCUCAGAAGCAACACAGCCACAUGAGCACAAACUGAAACCAUGAACCAGCCUUCCUUCCUCUGGGUUGUUAGCCUCGAGUAUUUUGUCACAAUGAAGAAAAGCUAACUCAAUCUCCAACUCCGUUGUUUAAUCAACACAAAUACACACUAGAUGAGACAUAAUCAGAAAGAUUAUUUUCUUGGAAAUUUCCUGAACUUGAAUGGCUGCAUGGUUGAUUGGGUAACACUGCCAGAAGUAUUGCUGUCCUUGGCACCUUCUCUGCAGCCAUGACAGAAAAUAACCAUGGUCUGAGAACCUGUUGCCAUCUAGCCAUUUCUCUGCAAUUACAAAACAGUUCCUAGUUUUGAGGCACCAUUCAAGACAGGGAAAAGGAGCAGGGAGAAGGACUCUGGGGCAGAGCUUUAUCUUGCCAGAUACUCCUGUGUCCUGGGAAACUCGGUGUCGUGAUAUGUACUUGGCGGAACUUUUGAAACUAAUCACAGAUUGGCCCUCGAAGUUGUCUGGUAUCUACGUAUUGUUUAAUAAUAAUGACUUUCAAACUGGAGGGUGAACUCGGCACUCAAGUCUUCUUUUACUUGCCUGUAGGAACAAUUUGAAAGCACAACCCUACUUGCCUCAUGAAGAGAAAUUCUUCUUUAAAAAAUCAUUUGUUAAGCAAAUUCUCAUAAGUAAGAAACAUAAUUACCAUUAACUUUCAUGAACAUCGAUUUAUGCAAAGAAAAACAGCAAAGCCUAUUAGACUUGACUGAAUUGCUCCAACAGUCACAUACAUUAAGCAACCUAGCAAGGCCUUCCUCUUCCCUAAUUAUACUAUAAUGUGGCUAUUCACCUGUUCUCAUUAAAUUCUUGCUGAACCAUUAUGGAACAUAUACUUAAGAUUAUUCUUAUGAACACAGCAUUGGGUGUUUAUACCCAUGUUUAUAUCAUCUUCAGCUAUGUGCUACGUAGUUUUAUGUUGACUUGACACAAGUCUGAAAUCAUCUGAGAAGGAGGAACCUCAAUUAAGAAAAUGCCUCCAUAAGAUAAGGCUGUAGGCAAGCCUAUAGGGCAUUUUCUUAAUUAGUGAUUGAUGGGGGAGGGCACAACCCAUUGUGGGUGAUGCUAUCCCUGGGCUGGUGGUCCAGGAUUCUAUAAGGAAGCAGACUGAGCAAGCCAUGGGAGCAAGUCAAUAAGCAGCAUCCCUCCAUGGCCUCUGCAUCAGCUCCUGCCUCCAGAUUCCUUCUCUGUAUGUGUUUCUGAUAUCACUGCUUUUGAUGAACUGUUAUAUGGAAUUGUGAGUGAAAUAAACCCUUUUCUCCCCCAAGUGGUUUUUGGUCAUGGUGUUUCAUGACAGUAGUAGUAACCCUAACUCUAAGACAAACUGUAAUGAAAAAGUAUCAAGGAAAAUGUAUUGGAGAUGCCAGUGUCAUGGGAUGGACACCAAGAACAAUAGCAGCAGUGGAGUGGAACCUGCCCAAGCUUAGAAGACAAAUUGAGUGUGCUGCAGAGGACAGAGCCAGAGAAGUGGCCCAAGCCCCUUGGAGGAGCCCAGAGAUUAUGACUGAAUCCCAGAUGGUAGACAUUGAGUGAUUUAUACUGUUGGAGUUUGUUUUUGCUUUGAUAUGAUGGCGACUGUGCCCUGGUUGUUCCCUCUUGAAGUAGGAAAGUAUUUAACUUAUAUAUAAUUUUACAGAAGCCCACAGCUGAGAGACUGCAUUUUUAAAAAGACUUCAGGCUUUAAACAAGACUUUGGAUUUUUAAAAAGACUGAAUUUUAA